GGAGUCCAGGGUCUGAGGGCCUGGGCACUUCUCCAAGUGUCCUGGCAUUUAAGCAGAAUGGGGUAGGGCUUAGGGCUGUGGGCACGACCCCCCCCACCCCCCACACACAGGGACAGCCCUCGGAAUAUAAAGAAGGAAAUGCUGAGGGCAGGGGCAGCCGCAGGAGGCAGGCGCCUCGGGGCCCCAGGAAGAGCAGAAACACAGUUCCCACCUCAGCAGGAAAAGAGUCUCACCCAAGCCCAGGAGCCCAUGGCCAACUGCAUGCAGCCCCACAGGAAGGCCAGCAGCACAGCACAGGGGGGGUCAUGGAAGGUGUAGAAGGAGACCAGGAGGGACCUGAUGGCCACGGGGCCCAGAGUCACAUCCCGGGAGGUGCCAGGAAGAACUAUAUGAAGCACCCCUGAAGGCAGAGUGGAGGCCAGACUGCUGGGGAGAGAGAGCGAUGAGCACCCAGGAGACACACGGCACACCCACGGUGUCCCUGGUGUAGACGUCUGAGCACGGGAUCUGUGUGUCCAUCGUGUACUUUGGGCACACCAGCGCACACAGGCAGGGUACACGCUCACCCUCCUUCAUCCAUGGGUGUGACCUCCAGUGAUCGAGGGACCUCUUUUCCACCCGCACCCAACUGGGGCCUCGGGUGCCACCUGCGGGAGCACAAAGGCCUGUGUGCCUCUGUGUGAGUGUGUGAGUCUGAGAAAGUGUUCUUAAAGCUACCGUGAGUCAUCCUGCUGUCCCACCACACAAUCCAGAACUAGGCCUGUGUCUGUGUGUGACAAGUGUGAUAAGAGCAGUUACGGCGCGUGAGUCUGCCCAAAGGCAGUCACAGGUCUGGAUUGUAAACCAAGACUUCUUGGGCCCCAUGGAGCCCUGGCUGCCCUGCUGUCUGGAGGGGAUACUGUGCAUUUCUACUCUGCUUCUAGGUGGGCGCUGACAACCGGAGUGGGGUCAGGCCAUGGGCAGGGCAUGUGGCCUGCAGCAGGGCAGACAUCUCACCUGGGGCUGGAGUCAGUCACCUCAGCACAGGCCAAUGCCUGGGGAAUGACCUUGAGCCCCACCAAGAACCUGGCCGUUGAGUCCACUUGAGCCACUGCACAGAGAGGGGGUCAGCCAGGCCCGGACGGGCAGCUUUCCCCGCAGGGCCAUAGGGGGCAGCAGAGGGCCGGCAGGGCCAUGCGCGCAGGAGCCUGAGGGCCAGGGCCGAGCCAGCACCCGCACAGUAGAGGGCACGCCUGGGGUGGGAGAGCGGGUGACACAGACCAACAGUCAGGGUCCAGGCCUCGGGAACCCAGCAAUAGCGCGAGGGUCCAGGAGCAUCACGAGAGGCACAGCCUGUCUCCCCUCCAGGGGGUCUGAGUCAGAUGGUUAAAUCCGACCCCCCCCCCCACCUUGCUGGUCUGAGAGGGGAAGCCAACAACCUGUGCAGGGGGGGCCUCAACCAAAGGUGGAUGUCCCCCCCACUGCUCAGUGCUCUCCCUGAAUCCCACCUGCCCAAACCCUCGGCGCCUUCUCUCCCUCCAUCCACGCUGGCCCGGAAGCAUAGGAUAAACGAUUUCUCGAUGAGAAGCUUAAACGCUAAUUAGACUCCAGGUUUUUCCUCCCCGGAGAAUUUGUUUGCUUUUUUUUUUCCUCCCCAGGGAAUUUAACGGGAGCAGUGCACAGAGAAGCUGGGUGGAGGGGGCACCCUCGUCUGGCUGGCGGGGCACGGGUGGGAGACUGGAGACCCUGAGGGCGGGAAGCCUUUCCAAGCGCGCGGCAUGGGGGCUCCACCCACUAAGGGGGUCUGCAGCGCUAGAGGUGGGGUCUCCCAUCCUGAGGCUGCAUCUUACCCAACCCAGACCUGUGGCAUUCGCAUCCCUGAAAAUAUCGCAGGGGUUCUAGUUGGUUCUGGAGAACUUUAGAGCCUCCUCGAUUGAUUCAGGGUGGCAGCAUCCUCUAGGAUCCUGGCGCCCCCUGCUGCAGAGCCGGCCCCAGACCACCCCUCAUCACGGGCCCCGCGAGCCUCUCAGGGCAGAAACGACCCCACCCCCGAAGCCGCUUGCCUGGAACUCUGGGGUCUAAGCGUGGCGACUCCACGCCAGCUAACGGUCCGAGGCCUGCCGGCCCCAGCAAGGCCGAGGGCGGCGGGGACCCCGGUGGGGACGCCGUGGGUGGCGAAUGGGGGUCCCCGAUGGAGACGCCCGCACCCUCGGACCCCGCAUCGCCCCUCGCGUCCGCCGCCCCCGGCCCGUCCCCGGCAGCUCGCCCACCCCGGCCCCGGGCCCGCCGCGGACUCACCUGACGCCGCAGCUCGGGGUCUCCGGUUCUCGCCGCCGCAGCCGGCUCGGCAGGAACCACAGAGGAGGGGGAGCGAGGGGCGGGGCCGGGCGAGGGGCGGGGCCUGCGCGCACGCGUCCUCGGGGCGGGGCGGGGCGGGCUCCGCAGCUGGGCCGGCGCUCUGUCCCGCGCACCUGGCGCUCCCGGAACGUGCUGCGCGUCGUCGGUGAGUGCGACCCACCGAACCCCCGCCGCCUCGGGCACCGCUUUCCACGGCCGCUUGUUGUCCCCCCAGAAGCAGCCACUCGCCUCCCUCCAGCGGUCGGUGCCGACCCCAGCGUGCCCUGCAGCCCCCGGCCGUUCCCUCCUCGUCUCCCCUCCCUUCUGCCCCCAGACUCUUCAUGGUCCGCUCCUGGGAGAGGGAGGCAGGGUUGGCGUCGCUCACCGCGAGGUCUGCGGGGGUCGGCCAGCAUUCGGCACCCCACUCCUGCACUCGGCUCUGACCCUGCACCCCCACCCGUGCCAAGAGCAGCCUGGGCUAACUCUGCGGGCCCCCAGCUCGGGAGGAUGGGCGCCUUUCCAGAGCUCAGGGAUCCACAGAUCCCAGAGAGGACGCCAGAAGGGGGCUGGUGCCCAAGUCCCCAGAGACCAGCCAGCGUGCCCUGGGGCUCUCAUCUCCUCCUCACGCUUUUCUCAGACCGCAGAGCACUGUGGCUCGGCUCUCCUUCUCCUGGCUGAAGGGCUCAGCCCCCCACAUCCACCUGCCCUCUCCCCCAAACCCAUCCCCUCCCAGGAACCCCAGGUGCCUCCAGCGCCCUGCUGGUCAGGAGACUUCCAGGUUGGUGACCCAGGCCCGGCUGUCACAAGGCAACCCGAUUCUCUUUGGAGGUCUGGCCCUCUGCCGGGUGCUCUCUUUCUGAUGAACUUUGUGGUCUUGGAUCAGGCCCUUCAGCUAAUUGUACCAUCUCUAAGGUGAUAUGGGGUGUCAUGAAGCUUCCUGACUUGCGAGGUGUUAUCUCAGGGGACUUUAUUCCACCCAGAAGAUAGGAAUCACAGCCUCCUGCCGUCCUGCAUAAUUAAAACACAUCUUUCUUUUCAAUGGACUGACUCAUUGUUUGUUUUUCUUCUCAUACACUUGGUGACCCCCCCCCCCCCACUGCUUCCUCAUGGCUGUCUCUCUCCUUGUCUCCCGCCACAGUCGUCUCCAGGGCCCAUGUGGCCAAGGAAGCAGUUAUCCACAUGCCACACAGUAGGGCUGACUCUUCACUUAGGAGCUGCCUUUGUGCUGCCAGUAGAGGCAGUAACCGUGGUCUUCAAGAAAAUAUUCUCCCCCUGAGCGCUGAGAACAUCCAGCACCAAGAGGAGAGGAGAUGCCAAAGCGGGACUGAAAGAACUAAAGGCUCAGAUGGAGGAAUCUCUUCUGGGCCCUCCAAGUAGGACCCCUUCCCUGGAGGGGGGGAGAUUCUGCCAAAGAGCACCAGGGACAGAGGCCUUGCACUACAACUGCUGAGCCCUUCGCCCUUGUUUGGUUGGCUGUAUAGGUCUUUGCUUUCAGGUACAAUACCCUGCAAAUGCACACAAAGCACACAGUUCACAUGAUGACUUUCGUGGGGCCUAUGUACUUUUGCCUUCCUGGGCGCUCUCACCCAUAAAAUAUUAAAAAGUAUUUUUUACCACUGUGUUGGCAUAAUGGAAACGAAUUAUUAUUAUUAUGUGUUAAAGUAUUUUCUUUGACCAGAAGAGACUUCUUUUUCUUCUGAUUUUAAAAUAACUUAAAACAUCUUCCUAUGCCUACUGUGUGGCUCCCUAUGGCGCGCUGUGUGCCAUCAUGAGAUGGAGGAGGAAGGGGAGGGGAAUGGAGAGGCAGGAUAUGGGAGGAGGGGCAGAUGAGGAGGAGAAGGAGGAAGAGGUGGAGGACGGGGAGCUGAAUACCAAGGUGGCUCUAGUCCCUGGCCCCAGAAUGGCAGCCCCUCUCUCUGGAAUUCCCCUUUAUCCGAGUCUGCAAACACAAAUUCUGGUCUCUCAUCCUCCAGCCUCCUUUCUUUCCACAGGAACAGCCUCUCAUUCCUCCUCCAAUGCCCUCGUUCUGGAGAUCCUUUCUUUUUCCACUGGCUAUCCCCAAGCCUGGGCCCAAAUCCUUCACCCACAACAGGACUGUAGCCUCCCAACUCUCCGCCCCACCCCACCCAGGCCUUCAUUUGCCAAACCCUGGUCUUGUGAGAGGGUCUGGAGAGUCCAAAGUAUAAAAAGCUCCCAAGAGAAAAGCAUGUGUAGGCCAGGUCUCCUCAUGGAGCCAUGGGGUCCCCCUGCUGAAUAGGUUCUAGCCCUCCCAGGUCAUUCUAGUUGGAUACGUGGAGAUGUCAAACUUGAAUGGAGCGGGGAGGAUGAACAUAGAAAACACACUGAUUAGUACUCGAACAUGUAAGCUUGCAUCUAUAUAUCCAGUAAUCACAUGGAUUCAGUUUAUUCUAUUCUGUUCCUAUGAAUUUUACAAUCUGCAGCUUUGCGUUAUAAUUUGUUUUUUAACCUCAGAAAGUCUUGGACAGGCGAAAUACAGGACCCUAGAAUUCCACUCCUUGUUGUGUGAUCCACUGAGUUCAGGACACCUGCACAAUAAGAACCAUAGCCUCAUUGUGUGAAAGAGCCGCAAACUGGAAACAACCCAAAUGUCCAUCGUCAAUAGAAUGGAGAACUAAAUCGGGGUAUAGUUCGUUAGCCAUGGCAACGGAGGAAUCACUGAUGACUCCUGAAUCCAUAAUUUUUAGUGAAAAAAGCCAGACAGAAGAGAAUAUAUACCGUAUGAUUACAGGUUAAACCCAGACCUGUGCGGAGUGCAUGAUAAAUGAAACUAUGAAGUAAACGAGGAAUGGAACACCAUGAACAUAAGACUGCGGUUACUGCUAAGGGCAGGGAAUAAAAUGUCUUUAGGAAGGGGCACGUGUGAAGCUUCUGGAAGUCUCAUAAAUUGUAGGUAUUGAUCUAGGUGGGCGUUAUUUUAAUUUACAGCCAUUCAUUAAGGUGUACGUUUAUGUUUUCUGCAGCCUUCUGCAUAUUGCAUGAUCCAGUUGAAGAAAAUAUAUCAUUCUGUCAAUGCAGAUCAUACCAGGAAGCACAAACUGUGCUAAGUGAGCAGUUGGGGUAUCUCCAUCUGCACAGCACUAGGAGGUGUGGGACACUAUUCCAUCCACGUGACCCACAGGGGAAGCCCAGGAGGUGGGCCCUGGUCCCAACCAGACAAGUGGUGGCACCAGGACUGGAGGAGGCCCUGUGUGACAAGCAUGGUGCUGGCAACCAUAGCUCUGACCUAGUGUCCCUGGACCAACAGCGGGUAUCUCUGAGGAGCUUGGAAUCCAGUGCAUUCUAGAGCCAUGGACUGAGAUGCCAAGCUUUAUUGGGGGGUAGGGGGUGGGGGGACUCAGAAUUGUCCUAAUUCUUGGGACCUUCUAAGAAGGAAGUGUGUUUGAUAACCAUGGCAGAGAAGAGGAUUCCCAGUUACCCCAGGCAUUUUGUGGGUUCCUAGGCAAGAGCUCCUCAAGGGCUGGGUGGCCAGAGCAUUCCAAGGAUGUCAGAGGCCUGUAGACAGGAAAUGCCCAAAGGCAGAGGUGAGGGGACAGUGGCCUCCAACAGAGGUCAACAACCUGGAGAGAAGCCAGAGAAGCAGCAGAACCCACAGAAGGUGGCCUGAGGUUCCCAGCAUCAGCUUUCUCAUGUGUCCCCAAAAGCUCACACCCAAUGUAAACACGUGGCAAAACACACGCACACUCACUCACAGAGCAACGACAAAACAAAAACCAUUAGCCAGCAGCAACAGGAGCCAAGCAACAGACAGUAAAGACCCUGGGCCUGGCCAGUGUUGUUCCUCCCCUGAGUCUGUGGCAGGCCUCAUGAAGGGAGCAGGAGAGAACUCAGUGCCCACAGCACUAGAUCAGCAGAAGAGCUAGAGUGGCCAAUUUGGAAGGAAAGAAAGAUUAGGAGAACAGCUCGGGAUUAAGACAGCUCUCAGGAAAUCCCAAACAGGACACAGCCCAUGCACCAGGACUCGGGGUCACAUAUGACACAGUCAGACCCUCAAAGUUGGAAAAAUGAUGGGGAUGACAAACGAUGAAGUACGAUUCAGCAACCUUACCCUGAGGAAGCACCUCCAUUUGGGGGCUAUCUGUGGCACAGCGCAUGAAACAUCGUUCCCUGCUGCCCUGGCAUAGCCUUAUAGCCUUACACAGUCCACUCCCAGUCUCUAGGACCCCCUCCCCCAGUCCCUGGGGUCCUCUGCAAAGAAGUUGCUCUCAAAUUCAGGCAACCAUCCUGGACUCCAUCCCUGUGGCUCAGGAAGUCAUAGAGUCUGUGACCAACGGGAGUCUGAACAGCAGCCCCUGGGCCUGUCUCAUCUGCAUAAGACCCGCCCCCUGGCCUGGUGUCAUUCACUGCUACUUCCUUCUGACCCACGCACCGCCUCCUGCCCGCACUUUUCCCCUCCCACUCCACCCUGCCGGCCAAUGGCAGGACAGGAAACUGAGCAGGAAGUGACGUCAUCACCCUCCCGGUUUAGGCCGCGGGGUGCUAGGCCUCAUGCCUGGGGAUGGCGCUUCAUCCGGAGACCACUUUAGAACAAGAGCGCUUGAGGACUAAAACUACCAUAGAAGGAACAAGAGCAACAGCAAAAGAUUUUCAGGCUCAGGCCAAGGAUGUGAUUUAGAAAUGGGAGCAAGAUUUUGAGGGGAUAAAAGGAGAAGAAAGAUGAACUCAGAAGGUGUGUCUGGCGGCUUAGGAGAAAGCCUAGAACUGUGGAGCCCCAGAACUGACCUCCGCCCUCUCUUUCUCCAAGAGGAGAAGAAAAUCACAGAGGUCUUCAGACAGAAAUGACCCAGAUGAGGGUUGAGAUCCCCAGUGAUUACAGCAGAGAAAACCUAAAGGACAGUGGAGGCACUCUAGAAGCCCCGACUGCGGAAGCAGGGUCCUCUUUGUGGCCCACGUCAGGUGAGAACCCUUCCUGGAAAGGGGGACACUUCCCACACAAAGGACACCUUGGACAAGGGACUUACCGUGCUCCAGCUGAGUCAUUCUUGCUGCCCCUAGAGCUUUUGGAGGUUUCCAUCCUAGAUUGUUUGUUUAAUGGUGGGGCUCUUUCCUUGCAUGAGAUUGUCCUUGGAAUUUUUUUCUGAAAUGCAGUUUUUUGGGCCUUAACCACAGACGUUUUCAACAAGC
rnacentral:lncRNA from 1 species